rfam:Pannonibacter phragmitetus strain 31801, complete genome.
GCAGCGGGCCGGGCCCCUCUGGCGAUGCGCACUGAACUCCAAGAGCAGGCGCCUCGUGAUGUCGGACCGCAUCA